rnacentral:rRNA from 1 species
GAUUUCUGAUCGGUUGUUUUGGCCCGCUUUCUUUUGAGAGUGAGUGCUGAAAUAAAUUGAUCAUCCUUGUAAAGAGCCGUGCCUACUCUUCAUUGAGUUGGGCGCGUGCGAUUUACAUCUUUUACUUUGAAAAAAUUAGAGUGUUUCAAGCAGGCUUAUGCUGUGAAUACAUUAGCAUGGAAUAAUAAUAUAGGACUUUGGUUCUAUUUUGUUGGUUUCUAGGACUAAAGUAAUGAUUGAUAGGGAUAGUUGGGGGUGCUAGUAUUCCGUGGCCAGAGGUGAAAUUCUUGGAUUCACGGAAGACUAACUACUGCGAAAGCAUU